UAAUCGUAAUAAUAAAAGUAGUAGUAGUAGUAGUAAUAAUAAUAAUAGUAAUGAUAAUGAUAAUAAUAAUUGUAAUAGUAUUGGUAGGGAAGAUAAAAAAAGAAAACACAGUGUGUUAAGCACCAAUGAACAAACAAGUUUUAACAUGAAAGGAAAAUAUAUUUCAAAAUAUAAUAACACAAUAACAAAAAAGAUUAUAACAAAAAGGAUUACAAGUAGUGGUAGUGAUACUAUAAGCAGUAGUAAUGACAUUAUAAGAUGUAGUAGUGGCGGUAACAAUAGAAGUGAAUAUAACUUAGACGAAAGAAAUGAUGAAAAUAAAAAAAAAGACGUGAUUGAAAACAAUGGAAAUAAUAUGUGCAAUUUAUAUGGAAUCUGUAAUAAUGUAACUAGUGGUAAGAAAGACGUUUCCAUUUUUGGAAAUAACGAUGAUAUGAGCAGUUGUAAUGAUGGGCGUAUUGGUAGUAGUAAUAGUAGUAAUAGUAAUAGUAAUAAUAGUAGUAGUAGUAAUAGUAUUAGUAGCAGUAAUUAUAGUAACGAAUUUUUAAAAUGUAACAGUGGNNNNNNNNNNNNNNNNNNNNNNNNNNNNNNNNNNNNNNNNNNNNNNNNNNNNNNNNNNNNNNNNNNNNNNNNNNNNNNNNNNNNNNNNNNNNNNNNNNNNUAAUAGCAAUUUAGCUGAAGAUUAUUACAUGAAUAUAAAGACUGUUAAUAAAAACAAUAAAAUAUCAUAUAAAUGUGAUACAUACCGAAUGGACGAAAAUAUACAAGGGAAUAACGUUAAUGAUUCGACAGAUCAACAUAAUGUUACAAAUAAUUUUCCAUUUAACACGUUUAAUAACAAUAAUAAAAUAGAUGUGAAAAUAAAUAUGAAUACGAGUGGUAUAGAUGACAAUCACAUGAAAAGCGCCAAUUAUUUUUUUAAUAUUAUAAAUAAUAAUAGUAGUGGUAGUAGUAGUAGUGAUAGUAGUAGUGGCAGUAGUAGUGGCAAUAGUAGUAGCAGUAGUAGUGGCAGUAGUAGUAGCAGUAGUAGUAUCAUUAGUAGUUACAAUAAUAGUGGUAACAUGGACUUAAAUUGCAUUAAGAAUAAUAACACAACCAAACCAUCUUCAAAAGAGCGCAAAGUUGAUUAUAUUAAAAAGCGUGACAACCAGAGUAACGACCAGAGUAACGACCAGAGUAACAGCCAGAGUAACGACCAGAGUAACAGCCAGAGUAACAACCAGAGUAACAGCCAGAGUAGCAACUACAGUAGCAACUACAGUAACAACUACAGUAACAACUACAGUAACAACUACAGUAACAACUACAGUAACAACUACAGUAACAACUACAGUAACUACAGUAACAGUAAUGAAACGGGUAAAAAUGGAAAUAACAUUAGCAUAUAUAAAGAGAACUUCGAAUUAAAAAUAAAAUGUAAUAAUUACGACCAUUACAUGAACAAUGAAAAUAAUAAAGAAGAUAGUGGUAAUACUAACGGAAGCUAUAAUAAAAAUGCUGCGAGUUACGACAAUAGUUAUAACAGUAGAGGUAACAUACGUAGAAUAUGUAAUAGCGAAGAAAACACUAACUGUAUUGAAGGUGAUGAUAAUAAUGAUAAUAAAAGUUUUAAUUUUUCAAAUAGGGAACGUAUGAACAUUGUUAAUGAUAAAUUAAUAAAAAUGUCAGGUUCAAAAAUUAAACACCACAUAAAAGAUACAAAUGUUGGUCUUAGUUCUGUUUUAAGUAGCAAUGAUAACAAGAAAGAUGAUAAUAAUAACAUAAAUAAAAAAAAUUCAAGUGAAAGUUAUAAUGUAAUAAAUGAAAGAGGAAAGUAUGGAAACUUCAUAAACAAUGUAAACAAUAGUUUGAAUAUAUGUGUACAGAAUCAAUUUAAUGUAAAUAUAUCGGAAAAAAAAACAUCUUUACAGUGUGUUAAUGAGAGUAUUAACAAUAUCACAAAUAGUAGUGCUCUAACAAAUACUUUAACACAGAAUAAACAACUGGAAGAGUAUCCAAAUGAAUACAUAAAUAGAAUACAUACACAAGAUGACUACAAUAAUAUGAAAGUAAAUACAGGUAUAAUGAAUAUUAAUGAUAAUACAUUGAUUAAUAAAAAACAUAUUAACAAUAAUUUGAGUCAGGAUAAAGAAAAUCAAUCAAAUUAUAUACAUAUGAAAACUAACAAUAGAUUUGACACCAAUACACGUCUUGAUGAACCUAACAU
ensembl:lncRNA